rnacentral:lncRNA from 1 species
UUGAUCCACUGUAGGAGUGAGGUGCGUAUCAAGAUAGGAUCUAUCGACCUUGAUAGAGAGGAGUAGUCCUAUAAGAUUUGAGAGACUAAGUCCAAGAGUCUGUGGCCACAGUAGUAUGAUUGAUGGAAAAGAAUUUUCAUAGAAGUCACAACUGGAUUUGAGCUAAUCAAUCUAUUAUAUGACUGAUGUUGAGGUUUGACGAUUUAUCCAUGACCUGCUAUCUAGUCAGGACUCACGAU